CAAUGAGGACUCUGUCACUACCAUAAAAGUCAUGAAGGAAGAAAAGGAGAAGGAAGCCAUAAGCUUGACUACUAAAGGCAUAAAAAAGAAAAAGGAGAAGAAAGUCCUAGGCUUGACUACUAAAGGCAUAAAAAAGAAA